GGAUUAGAUACCCUGGUAGUCCACGCCGUAAACGAUGUGUGCUAGCCGUUGGGGGACCUAGUUCCUCGGUGGCGCCGCUAACGCUUUAAGCACACCGCCUGGGGAGUACGGCCGCAAGGUUAAAACUCAAAGGAAUUGACGGGGGCCUGCACAAGCGGUGGAGCAUGUGGUUUAAUUCGAAGCAACGCGCAGAACCUUACCAGCCCUUGACAUCCCGGUCGCGGACUCCAGAGAUGGUCUCCUUCAGUUCGGCUGGACCGGUGACAGGUGCUGCAUGGCUGUCGUCAGCUCGUGCCG
rnacentral:rRNA from 1 species